rnacentral:rRNA from 1 species
GAGUUUGAUCAUGGCUCAGGACGAACGCUGGCGGCGUGCUUCAUACAUGCAAGUCGAGCGGAAGGGCCCUUCGGGGUACUCGAGCGGCGAACGGGUGAGUAACACGUGAGCAACCUACCCUUGGCUCUGGGAUAACUCCUCGAAAGAGGUGCUAAUACCGGAUAUGACUUCCUUCGACAUCGUCGGAAGUGGAAAGUUUUUCGGCCAAGGAUGGGCUCGCGGCCUAUCAGCUUGUUGGUGAGGGUAACGGCCCACCAAGGCUUCGACGGGUAGCCGGCCUGAGAGGGCGAUCGGCCACACUGGGACUGAGACACGGCCCAGACUCCUACGGGAGGCAGCAGUAGGGAAUAUUGCGCAAUGGGCGAAAGCCUGACGCAGCAACGCCGCGUGAGGGAUGAAGGCCUUAGGGUCGUAACCUCUUUCGGCAGGGACGAAGCGAAAGUGACGGUACCUGCAAAGAAGCACCGGCCAACUACGUGCCAGCAGCCGCAGU